UGCUGGUGUCGGUAGGUCAUUGUGUUUAUUUCCCGAGCUGUAGGCAUUAUAGGAACAUACUCCCAUUUAUUUAUGGGAGUUCUCCUACUGAUGGACACUUGGGCUCUUUCCAGUUCUUUGCUAUUAUAAAUAAAGCUCUAUGGACAUUCUUGUACAAGUAACUUUGUGUACAAAUGUUUUCAUUUCUCUUGGGUAAAUAUCAAGGAGUGAAAAUCGUGGGUCAGAGCUGAAGUGGUUAUGACAUUUAUUCUCUCAUCAACAACGUAUGGUGGUUGUGGUCUUCAUCAGUCAUUCUGGUGGGUGUGUUGUGGUGCUUCGGUGCGGUUCAAGUCUGGAUUUCCCCAGCGAUCUAUGUGAAGAGUAUCCAAGGCAUGUGGACAGGAAGCGGUCUUUGAGAAGAAGCAAGGUCACGUGUGUUCCUACUGUUAUUCCCAAUUCCUGCCGUCCGGGGGUCUGCUGAGUUCGCCAUCGGCAGGUGCUGGAGGGCCCAGGAGGGACGGAAAGCCGCCCGAGAGAAGAGCUGGAGGCCGGGGAGGCCCAGAAGAAAGCCGGCGAGCCCGGGGGUCCUGAGGGCUGGGCCGCGGUUGCCAGCGAAAGCAGCCGCACAUCUCUGUAGGCUGAGCCGAGCCGGGCUGGCAUUUUCACGAAUAAAAUGCGGAGGAAACAUUUUAACGCAA